AGCAACAGGGAUGUCGUCUGGAAACAAAAUCUGGUAUUGAAGCGCAGGGAGACAAAACGUCCACCUCUAGAGCCGAGGCGGCGGUUGCCUGUCGCGUGCCCGUGGUCUUCUGCCUGCCCCCGGGCAUCUCGGGCCACGUCCGGCCCGGCCUCCGGCCGCGCUGCCCUAGCGGGCGUCACGGGGCAUGAAGAGCCCUGGGCGGCUGCGAGGGGGGGGUACCGGGGCAGCGGGGCGGUCGCUCGGGGCUCCCGCGCGGUGACUCUUGCUCUGCCGUCGAAGAGAACGGCCCUCGGGCGGGUCGCGGCCGCGGCUCCAGAGCCCCUGGGCCUCGCGCUCUGAGAGCCUGAGCCGCUUGAGGAGGCCAAGCGCCCACGAACCGCAUUCCCUGCCUUGCUAGUUAGUUCUCCAACACGCGAAAAAGGUAGACGAGGACUGGUUUUCUUUGCAGCUAAAAUGAAUCCAGCCUCUGACUGCAGAAAGCGGGGACUUAGCUGAGAAAAUUAAUCGUGCACUCAUUCAGCAAAGGUUUCAGGGCCUGCUGUGUGGAGACACGGUUCCAAGCACUGCCGCAGUAGCAGGGAGGAAACAGAACGGACCUCAAACGCUGUCCCAGCAAGGACUCCAGUCUCUGCCUUGUGGAUGUGUAACUGGCGCGUGAUGUACCAGAAACUCCUGUGUGUGGUUGUAUCCGGUGCGUGACACAGUACUCUCUCCAGCUGCUCCUUGGAUUUGGGAAGCAGCCGAAGAUUUACGGGCCAUGGAGGCUCCUUCUAUCCCUGGAAAUCGGCCCUUGGGAAUUAAGCUGAGUUAUGUGGUUAAAGCCGUCAUGACAGCCAUCCCCUGGCUGGGCCAGUUCUGGGAAUAACUAUAAUGCUUAUACUACAGGAUGGCCAAUUCAGAACUUCUUACUAGUGCUGAAUUCAAUAAAGGUUUAAUAACACAUUUCUCAAAUCCUUAACAGUACUUUAGGACGUCUCAGCUAGAGAGGGCUUGCAAGGGAUAAUUUUUUUUAUUUUUUAUUUUUUUUGAGACAGAGUCUCGCUCUGUCGCCCAGGCUGGAGUGCAGUGGCGCCAUCUCGGCUCACUGCAACCUCCACCUCCCAUGUUCAAGCGAUUCUCCUGCCUCAGCCUCCUCAGUAGCUGGGAUUACAGGCACCCGCCACCAUGCCUGGCUAAUUUUCCUAUUUUUAGUAGAGACGGGGGUUUCACCAUGUUGGCCAGGUUGGUCUCAAACUCCUGACCUCGGGUGAUCCACCUGCCUCAGCCUCCCAAAGUGCUGGGAUUAUAGGUGUGAGCCAUGAGUCUCAUAUGACAAGUUCCCUUUUAAAAUGCAUAAAAUCACAGAUACCUUUGUCUGGAAAAAUAGUUUUUUUUUGUUUUUUGGGUUUUUUUUUUUUGAAAUAAGGUCUCUAUCACCUAGUCUGGGGUACAGUGGCAAAAUCAAGGCUCACUACAGCCUUGACCUCCCAGGCUAAAGCAAUCCUCCCACCUCAGCCUCCGGAGGAGCUGGGACUAGAGGUACAUGCCACCACCCCCAGCUAUUUUUUUUUUCUUUUUUUGUGCAGACAGGGUCUCACCAUGUUGCCCAGGCUGGUCUCAAACUCCUGGGCUCAAGCAAUCCUUCUGCCUUUGCCUCCCAAAUUCCUGGGUUAACAGGCAUGAGCCACUGCACCCAGCCAGAAGAUAUUAAUAACAUUUCCAGGAAAUUUAACAGAUAAUGUUUCAUAUGUUAAUGAGCAGCAGUUAUUGUGGGAGGCUGAGGUGGGAGGAUUGUUUGAGGCCAGAAGUUGAGACUAGCCCAGGCAACAUAGCAAGACCUCAACGCUACCAAAAUUAAAAACUUAGCUGGGUGUGAGGCUUGCCUGAGCCCAGGAGGCCAACGCUGCAGUGAGCCGUGAUCAUGCCACUGUCCUCCAGCCUGGGAAAAGAGCAAGACCCCAUCCUGGAAAAACAAAACAACACAGGGAGAGCAUAGGUGCUGUGUCAUAUGAAUUAAUACAUUUUGUUACUGAAACCCAGUUUUACUUUGCAACUUUAAAUUUUUUUCAGAAACAUUAAAGAAUAUAUUUUGUAUGAGUUAAAUAUAGAAA